UACGGGGGGGGCAAGCGUUGUUCGGAAUUACUGGGCGUAAAGGGUUUGUAGGUGGCUUGUUAAGUCAGACGUGAAAUCCCUCAGCUUAACUGGGGAACUGCGUCUGAUACUGGCGAGCUUGAGUGCAGGAGAGGAACGCGGAAUUCCAGGUGUAGCGGUGAAAUGCGUAGAUAUCUGGAGGAACACCGGUGGCGAAGGCGACAUCCUGGACCGGUAUUGACGCUGAGGCGCGAAAGCCAGGGGAGCAAACGGG
rnacentral:rRNA from 1 species